AGCUAUUGGACUGAUCCGGAUGAGAUCAACAAUGUAGACCAUAUUAGGGUGUUGGAAGAAUCUCUCAAGGAAUCACUCAGUCGAAUCUGGACACAUAAGGAAAAUUUUGGGAAACAACAGCUUAUGUCACUAGAAUGUUCUGCUCGGUUUCAGAAUGGGAUGCAUGUAUCGUUAGUAAUGGGUGGUGAACAACAGGCGUAGCCACUAUCAUGGUUUAAUAAUGGUCAACAUAUGAUGAUGUCAGAUGACCCAAAUUUGCUGCCUCAAAGGGAUAUAGACUGCUCCACAGGCACCUCUGAUCCCAAUUAUUUGCGUUGCUUUAGAACGGGAAAGCAAGCAGCAAUUGAUAGUUCAGGGCAAGAAGGUGCUUUGAAUGAGUUAAGUAGAAAUGAGUGCCUGAGGCUACAACUAGAUAUGUGUUGACCAUCUCCAUGGUUGUUUACUUCUCAGUUGUAAGAAAGCCUUUAGUGGCAGCAAUUGAUGGUUUUGCAUUUGGUUUAAUUUGAAAUGAGGGAUAUUUUUGAUAAGGAACCCAAAUUGAAACCAUCGUUGCAUGUCUUGGCUCAUUUUGUCAUUAUGGUUUUGGAUCUUUGUUUUUACUGUAUUGGUAUGAUCCUAUGUAAUUAAUGUUUUAUAUAUUGUUAGGAUGGAACCCAAAUUCAACUAAUGUCAGUCACACAAAGGAAAUAUUUUC